rnacentral:lncRNA from 1 species
AAACACCAUACUUUUAAAUUUAGACUACAGCGCUAGCAGAAGGCGGGUGAGUUUUGGCCUGAAGAAGCCGCCGUCGAGGGGCGUGGCGAUGCAGCCGCAAUAGAAACGCAUCGCGUGCAGGUAGCUGCGGAUCGGCUUCCCUGAUGUACAAUGGCUCCGCCGGUAAUUCUCAAUCUCAAUAACGAGGUGAGCGCCCAGGGCGCGGACCCUAUCUAGCUCCUCUUGGAAAGUCUCAAAACCAGCUCCUUUCAGUCUUUCCGACAGGGCCGGAGAUUUAGCUCAGUGAUUCUGCCGCCUGCCUCACAAGUGCAAGGUUCCAAGUUCAGUCCCUCGUACCAAAAAAAUUUACAUUUUAAAUGUUUUUUUUAAAAAGUUAGAUGGUAGUCUAAUUUUAUAUUAAAUUUCCCAGAAUGUUUUUUGUGAUUUUUCUGUGUCUUCUAUUCUUAAUAAUUAUGAAAGACCAUUCCAUGUCUUCUAUUCUUAAUAAUUCUAUUCUUAUAGGAAAAAAUUUUCCAAGGAUAGGGACUAAUUUAUAAAAUACUUCCUAACUCUGGGUUGUGAAAAUAUAUUUAUUCUUAUGAAGUAAAAUUUUUCCUUUACUGUUUUAAAAAAUAAACCAUCACUUUUUACUUCAUCUUAUGAUUAUUGAAUGCUUUAUCUUCCUCAGAAUUUUCUGUGAAUUUUAAGUAAAAAAUUUAACUGUUUUGUUAUAGUAACUUCCCAAACUUCUAGCAUAGUCCUUGACUGCAGGUAAUAAGUAAGUAAAUACUGGGAAAAUGAAAAUAUGGUUAGCACAACAUUCGUCAGUAAUAUUCAGAUGAAAGAGGAAAAUCUCCUAAAUAAUGAUUUUUUCCCCCCUCCUUUUGCAUUAAAGCUAAAGAAAGAAGAAUGUACAAUUGAAACAACAGUGCUCUAACAUUUAGUGAGUUAAGAAUUUGCAAAACACCUGGAUUUAUUGUAGUCAUGUUUCUUUGCCAGCAGUGAUGGUUAAAAUUUGAAUUACAGGAUAGUGAUUUGAUGGAGUACUUUGAUUCCAUAGAAGGGCUGUAAGUCUUUGUAGAAAACUAGAAUAUUAUUCUGUGAUAGAAAAUUACCAGUAAGCCCAUUAGAAAAUUGCCUAUCAUUUCUUAUAAGAGAGUACAUUAGUCCUCCCUUAUCCUUGGUUUUACUUUCUGUCAUUUCAGAUACCCGAGGUCAAGUGCAAUUCUGAAUAUAUUAAAUGGAAAAUUUCAGAAAUAAACAAUUUAUGAAAUUUUAAAUUGCUCACCAUUCUGAGCAUAGCGAUGUGCAGCCCAGGUUGGGAAUUAUCCCUUAGGCCUGGAUAUCUCUACAUCUUACGUUCUGUCACCCAUUAGUCCUGCAGCCCUUCGUGUUGACUGUUACCAAUAUCACAGUGCUUGUGUUCAAAUAACCCCUAUUUACUAAUGGCCAUAAGUGCAAACUUUUAUUAUAGUAUGUGGUUAUAAUUAUUCUAUUUUAAAUAGUUGAUUUUGUCAAUCUUUGUGUCUAAUUUUUUAAUCAGUAUAAAUAAAAAUUUAUCAUAGGCAGACGUGUAAAAAACCACAAUACAUACAGAGUUUGGUGCCAUCUAUAGUUUCACCACCAUCUAUAGUUUCAUCCAGUGCUAGUCUUGGAAUAUAUAUUACUUGAAUAAGGGAGUACUGUGGUAAAGGUAGAAACAAGAAUACCAGAAAACAAAAUGAUUUUCCUCCAUGUACUGUAAAAGGUAAAGAUGUCAAGAAACAUGUUGUAUGUGUUUAUGAAGUUACAAAACUCAUUCAUAAUUGGAUGCAUAGUACUUUUUGAUAGUUUAUUCUGAAAUAGUAAAUUAGAAAAACCAGCUUGUCAUCGGUUGUUAACUGUUCUGGUAAGUUGGCUAGGUGGCACCAUAUGCUCAAUAAUAGUUGUUAGGUAAUUACUAAGCAUUCUAGAUGUUUUAAAUUGUAGCUCAGGAGAAAUAAGAUUUGUAAUUCAACCAUAAGUUAUCUAAAUGAUUAAAUUAGGAUCCUCUGUAUAAAACUGUAAUUUUGUUGACUAUGAAAUACUUCAAACACACGGAAAAUAAUAUAACAAAUAUGCUUGUAUCUACUUCCUAUGUUUAGCAGUUACCAAAUGUUUUGUCAUAUUUUUAUUCCAAUCACUUUCCUUUCCACCUUAGGAGUUAUUAUUUUUCUAGUGUUUUCUCAUCUGUAGGUUUCAUAAUUUUGAAACAUGUAU